CAUGGAUCCAUCACAUAACACAGACAGGGAUGUAGGUCGCGACACUUCUACCGAGCAGCUAAACCUCAUUGUAAUUGUACAAAUUAGAUAGAAGCAAACUGUUACAUUAUUAUGGUCUUUUCUUGAGUGUUUUGGAGUAAUUUUGAUAGUGUUAAUAAUAUUCUUGUCACAGACAGAUGUUCGGGGAAAGGGAAAUGGAGUUGCAGUACUUGAGCACCUCUCUAGGGAUGUGGACUCAACGAGAUUAAGCGAUGAUGACAUCGCAAAUUCCAAAAACCCUAUAGAAUUGAUAAAAAAGUCUAUUAGAAAAAUUAUUAGAGAGAUUGUUGCUUUGACAUUUGUGGAGCCUCAGAAUGAUGAGAUACAAGAGAGGGUGCAAAACUUGAUGCGGACAACAUAAAACUUUCAUUACAUAAAAGCUUUAAUUAUAACAAAAGUUAAAUAAUGCUAUAUAUUUUAUACUCUUUUAUGUCAUUAACUAAAAUAUGUACGUGUUGUUUUUAUAGAAAUUUAUGUGUCCUCAUCAACCUAGUGGCCAUGAUCAAGGUAUUGUAGGUAGUUUAGGUGAUGACGAUUUUCUUGGCUUAUCACUUUCUUGGAUUAUCACUUUGAGUACCCAAAACACAUCAUACUUGAUACUGUUAAUGUUCAUAAUAAAGGUUCAUCCUUGUUUACAAUUCUUGCAGUUUUUAUAUAUUUAAUGUUUUAUAUAUUUAAUGUAUUAUUCUUCAGGUGCUGUCAAUGUUCCUGUGCAAAUGCCGCCUCAUCAGAGGUUAGCCCCACCUGUAUUGCUGACUGCAAUGUUGGCAACACGCAACAUGCAAACAUUCUCUACUGUACGUCGUGUUGGCCCGCCCAUUGUUGGUAGAUCACUCUUUUGCUCUAUCUUCUGUUAUGUGUUUAUUUCCCUUGAAGCGAUCUUUUUUGGGGAUAUUUCAUAGUGGAUUCAUUUUCUACAACAAGAGAUGCACAUGAGGAUGCGCCAGAGGCGAUUACUGCUGAUAACAUACCAUCAUUUCCUGGAUCUUCUCAUAUUGCUAGUACGAGAACUUUACAAGCCACAUUGGUGGUUAGCGACAAAGAAUUUAUUCCAUUAAAGAUACAGAAGGUUCCAGGAAAUGAUAUUUUUUAUAAAAAUCUUAAUGACAUUGUAUUGCAGAUAUUUGGGCCCACCAUACGUAAAAGGUGGAAUGACCAAGAAAAAAGGUUAAAAGAUGAAUUGACAAACCAUAUGGUUGAGUUGUUUGGAAAUGACACAUUCGACAAAACCAAGCUCCUUGAAAAAGUUGACACAUAUCGAAAGUAUGUGAGAGACCAAUACAAGAACCAUUUAGAGAAGAACGUAAAGUACGAGCGUCCCCCCAUGAUUCCAAAGAGGGAGUGGAAGGACCUGAUUUUGGAUGCCAAGGAGAGAAUUGAAAGGAAAAGAGGAAAUACACCUACAAACGCCAAAAGAAGACCAAGUGACAAGUCAAAGGCAACCAAGGCAAGACAAGAAAAGCACGAGCAACACAAACUUGGUUCUGGUGGUUAUAUGAAACUUGGCGCAAGAAUUGUAAGUAUCAGUAAAUGAAAUAUCACAUCAAAAUAUUUAUAAAUUGCAAAUGAUUUUUUUUUUGAUCAAACAAUGCAAGGAAAAUCCACGAUAGCAAGCAAAAAUGCAGGGCUCUAAAUUCAAUAGAGCACCCACAAAAGAUGACAAGAGAAUUGCCUACCAGCAAGUCUAUACAGUCCUAGCUGAACGACUAUGAGAAUUGAGUGGGCAAACACAAGAUUCUAGUGCAUCCGUCACACAAGUAAAUAAGCUAAAUGAAAAUUGUUUCAAAUUGAAUACUUUACCAAUAAUCUAAUUGAUGUUGAGUUCCAACAUAAAGUGACUAUAUUUGUUUUAAAUAAGCAAGCAAUGAUAACAAUGUGCAUGACAUUGGAAUGCAACCUGCUAAUCGUGAAACAUGACUUGCACAUGAAGGUCCGGAUGUGCAUCCUAGUAGUGAAGAGCAUGUAGUCGGUGGUGACCAAGUGGAGCAUGAUUCAGGUACACAACAUCAAGAACGUGAUGUUCCCCAAUCAGAGGAUCUAGAGGGUGUUCAACAUGUUGAGGUUGAGGCUAGACAAAAUGAUGUGGCCCCAUCAGACGACCUCCCUUCGCUUCAGUGUCCUUGUCCUCAGUAUAGGACUAGGCAUACAUCGAGAUCACGAGCAGAGGGCAGAACAACUGAAGAGGGGUGAAAUGAUGACGAAAACGAUGGUCCACUUAUUCUUUACAUAGCUUCAAAGAAAAAACAAAAAAACAAAUAAUUGUAAUCUACCUUAUUUGAUAAUGACUGAUUUU